UACAGAGGGUGCAAGCGUUAUUCGGAAUUACUGGGCGUAAAGCGUGCGCAGGCGGUUUUGUAAGACUGUUGUGAAAUCCCCGGGCUCAACCUGGGAAUGGCGAUGGUGACUGCAAGGCUAGAGUUUGGCAGAGGGGGGUAGAAUUCCACGUGUAGCAGUGAAAUGCGUAGAUAUGUGGAGGAACACCGAUGGCGAAGGCAGCCCCCUGGGUCAAAACUGACGCUCAUGCACGAAAGCGUGGGGAGCAAACAGG
rnacentral:rRNA from 1 species